UACGGAGGGUGCAAACGUUGCUCGGAAUUAUUGGGCGUAAAGCGCACGUAGGUGGUCUGCUAUGUCGGGUGUGAAAUCCCUCGGCUUAACCGAGGAAGUGCAUUCGAAACUGGCAGGCUAGAGUACUGAAGAGGGUCGCGGAAUUCCCGGUGUAGAGGUGAAAUUCGUAGAUAUCGGGAGGAACACCGGUGGCGAAGGCGGCGACCUGGGUGGAUACUGACGCUGAGGUGCGAAAGCGUGGGGAGCAAACAGG
rnacentral:rRNA from 1 species